rnacentral:lncRNA from 1 species
AUGAGAGUAAAACUAUAUGAAAAACAAUAACACAACAUUAACUUAAGAGCUAGAAAAAGAAAAUCUUGAAAGCAAUCACUGUCGAGCUAAACUAGCCAAGUCCCUCCCAAUAUAAUACUAGAUUGUGGGGACAUAUAACAAAUACACAAACUUUUCAACUCAAACUAUGCAUGAGCCUUUAAACAUCAUCACUAUCUCCAAAAGGAAAACUAGCAGAAAUUAUAUGAGUACUGGAAGAAGUUGAGAAUGUUUCUAGUUCCAUCUUGGCUUCGUCAUUGUUGACUGGCUCAUCCAAUGGGUAAAAAAGUGGUUUUUGAGGCAUUUGAAGUUUAUCAAUAUCUCCUUCAAGCAUUUCUAGGACUUUGUUCAUUGGAGGUCGAUGAUCAGGGUUUAAUUGUAUACACCAAAGUGCAACUAUUAUCAUCUUUUUUAUCACCUUCCUUUUCUCUUUUGCAACUUCUUCCAUUUCAACACUUUCUCCUUCAUUGACUUGAUGGUACUAUGGCACCCCGAAACACCUAAGGUCACCACAGCUACCAAAAAAGAACCUUAGUUCCUAUGCAUUUUUUUUUAAAUGGUCCCAGCGCAUCUUAUUUGCGGAAGCAUAAUCAAGUCUUACUAAUUCUCCCUCCAACAAUCAUGAUACAAUUGCACACCACUAAACACCAUAUGAAAAGGUAAAGCCAAGACACUUUUAUUUACAUAUUUUCAUGAUGGACUUUCUCGGGUCGGUACAACAAAAGAAAGGCCAAGACUUUUCACUACACUUGGCCAUAACCCCAAAAAGAGACAACUCGACCCUCUAUGACAAUCAUGCAAAAUCCUCCAUCAACUAGUGUCGGCUAUUGUCCAAAAAGUUGCAGCUCCUACUCCUCACGCACGGGCCGUCACACCCAUCCCGGUGCGUCAGGCGGUGGCGGCGGCAACAUCCCCCGCAUCACUCCGUCUCGACAAACGUGAACAGAUAUGAACUCCUGUAUGACCGGGCCCCCAGCUAGGCCCACAUCAUACAUCACUAAAGCACGAACCCGAAUGAACGUCAAACCAGGGAUGGUGGGACAGUCGAUCUCCACACACUCGACCUCCACGUCCAAAGGAAAGCCGUAAAAGACGCUCCGCGUGACAGCAGGGAGGGGCAUCUUUCUAAUCUGAAAUGUUAGUCCCCGAAGGGGUGAGUACAGCCACUCAACUGGUAUAUGACCCAAUAAACCACUCAAUGCAUCACACAAUACAAUCAUCACAAUCAUAGCAUAACAUAUGUCAUUCAUGCAUCCAUGCAUAACUUACCUUGAAACCGUGCACAUGUCAUCAUACUACAUGUACAUACAUCCUCAUGUAAUCAUCACCAUUAUGUCAUAUAUACCAUCAUGCCAUAGGUGCACAUACAUCCAUGCACUCACCAUCAUCAUGUCACAUAUACUAUCAUGCCAUAGGUGCACAUACAUCCAUGCACUCAUCAUCAUCAUGUCAUACAUGUACCAUCAUGCCAUAGGUGCACAUACAUCCAUGCACUCACCAUCAUCAUGUCACAUAUACCAUCAUGCCAUAGGUGCACAUACAUCCAUGCACUCAUCAUCAUGCAUUCAUGCAUACAUGUUACCAUAUCAUGCAUAAUUCAAUUUCAAUUUCUCAAUUUCAUUCUUUCAUUUUGGGCCGCCACAUUUCUCUUUCCCGGGACCAGUAUUUGCAUCCCACAUUUAUCGCUCGCACCCAACCUGGCAUUGCGAGGAACCUCCGGCACAAACCUCCGGGCAUCUGGCACAAACCUUCGGGCAUAUCGUACCCCAACUGGCAUCACGAGGCAUCCCCCGGCACAAACCUCCGGGUUUCCGGCUCCCCCACUCUCCGGGCAUCUCGAAACUCCCGAUGACCCUCCGGCAUUCAGCCAUUUAAGGCCACCGGGCAUUCGGCAUUUACACUCCCUGGCCAGGCAUCCCGACACUCCCGAGGCAUCGUCGGUUCACACCUCCGACGACCUUCUCAUUUAUCAUCGUUCACAAUUACAAUUUAUAGCUCAAUUUCAACAUGGCAUAUAAUAUGAUGGCAACAAGAUCAUUUUCAGCAUUUGAUUCUUAUAUGCAUUUCCAAUCAUCAUCAUAUAAGCAGCAAGGUCCAGUCACUUAUGACAAUACAAUCCGUGGGAUCCAUACAACAUAGAAUAAUCCAUACAUCAUGACUUUUUAAAAUUUACCAAAUUCCAGCUUGCACAAUUUUGGAAAACACAUAAAUUAAAUAUCCAUAUGAUCUUUAAAAAUCAUAAAAUCUGAACAUGUGAUAGUCAAGACACAAAGGUAGAAACUUCAUGAAGAACACAUGCCCAAAAGAACUUCACACAAAAAGAUAUAGCUCACACAUUACAGCUUGCAAAAUUCGGACACAUAAAAAUAUUUCAAUUUAAAUACCCGAAUGACCUCUAAAAAUUAUGAAAUUUUAUCACGUGAUAGUCGAGACCCUAAGGUAGAUUUUUCAUGAAGACAUCAAGGCCAGAUUCGUCCUAGAUAAUUUACUAUGGACGGACGAAGCUCCUGUUCCUAGUACCGAACAGUCCAGUUUAGCUGUCUCCGAAAAAUCGAGGUUUCGCCUACUUAUCUUCCUUCAUUUCCUCUGAAUUUUUGAUAUGUUUUGACUCAAGAGGUCCACUACAACUUUCAUUAAGGGAUAUAUGUAAUAUUCUCAAAGGAUAAUCACUUUAUGGUCCACGAAGUCGCUGGAGUCCAGUGCAAUACUUCCAGAUCUAUCGUCUUCAAAGGAACAAUCGUUUCACUAGGCUAAACUUGUUCAUUUUACCUCAAAUUUGAGUAUGUUAGUAUUCAAUAUGUUCUCUAUAACUUUCGUGAAGAAGUAGAAGUGAAAUUCUCAAUAAAAAGUGACAUGCAACACACAAAACCACCAAGAGGUCAACAAAACAGUUCCAGAUCUAGCGUUUUCGUAGAGGGAGGGUUUCACCCCUCAAAACUCAACCAUUUUGUCCCAAAUUUUAUUAUGUUGUACUUUGAGAUGUUGUAUACAACUUUCGUGAAGAAGUCGAAGCCAAAAUCCGACUCAAACCACGCAUGCAAGCCUCUACAACGUUCGGGGUCAGGCGGUAUACUCGAAAACAGAAUGUUAUUUCAAAAACAACACACUCAAGCUUCGGUUUCUCAUACCCUAAACGUCCGAGAUUCAUCACCAUUUCAAACACACAUGCAAGAUACAACAUGCAAGAGCAGAAUAUGGAUCCCAACAUGCCUUUGUACCGAGCAAACAACGGCACAAGGACGGCGACGGACGCACAGACAGACGGUCGACGGACAAGCGGCUUCUUCCUCCUCUCUCUCGGUUCCUCACUCUCUCUCGGCAACCCUCUCUCUCUCUCUCACUUGGACGACAGCCCCCUAAACCGACCACUCUCUCCUUUUAUCCCCCCUUAAUCUCAAUCAUUAGCCAUCAUUAGAAACCACCCACAAUGACCAAUGGAUGAAGCCUUCUUUUUGCCACUUGACAACUCCCAUGCAUGAUGGGCUUGGAAGUGGGCCAGCCUCUCCCCCUCUCUCCUUGGUCGACAGCAGCCCUCUUCAUGGGCUUCAUGGGCCGGCCUUUCGGCCCAUCAAAGGUCCACACUCUUGGGCCUAAGACCCAAGCCUAAUUAAAUCAAAUUUUAACCCCUUUCUAAUACUAAUUUGAUCUUUAUUGAACCAAAGUACUAUAGUGUAAAAAUUAAAUAACUAUACACUUGAAAUCACAAAUCCAUAAAUUCUAAUUGACAAUACAUAUGGCCAAAGAUAGGUCAUCCUUUUCCAAAAUUCAUCCACUAAAACUCGGCCAUAGUCCUUAAUACAAGAUAUUAAUUUGAACACCCCUAAUGACUGGCAAAGAAUUUUAGAAUGCCACAGGUACACCCACAAGGGAAAAUAAAUUUGGCUUGAG